CGGUUGAUCCUGCCGGAGGCUAUUGCUAUCAGGGUUUGACUAAGCCAUGCGAGUCGAGAGGUGAAAGACCUCGGCAUACUGCUCAGUAACACGUGGAUAAUCUGCCCUCAGGUGAGGAAUAAUCCCGGGAAACUGGGGCUAAUGCCUCAUAGGAGACGGGUGCUGGAAUGCUCUGUCUCUGAAAGGUCCGCCGCNUGAGGAUGAGUCUGCGUCCGAUUAGGUUGUUGUUGGGGUAACGGCCCACCAAGCCAUUGAUCGGUACGGGUUGUGAGAGCAAGAGCCCGGAGAUGGAUUCUGAGACAUGAAUCCAGGCCCUACGGGGCGCAGCAGGCGCGAAAACUUUACAAUGCGAGCAAUCGUGAUAAGGAAACCCUGAGUGCCUGUCAAUGCAGGCUGUUCUGGUGUUUAGUCAGCACCAGGAGAAAGGGCGGGGCAAGACCGGUGCCAGCCGCCGCGGUAAUACCGGCUGCUCGAGUGAUAGCCACUUUUACUGGGCUUAAAGCGUUCGUAGCUUGGUCGUUAAGUCUCUGGGGAAAUCUUUUGGCUCAACCAAAAGACGUCUCAGAGAAACUGGCGACCUUGGGACCGGGAGAGGUAAGACGUACUUCGGGGGUAGGAGUGAAAUCUUGUAAUCCCCGAGGGACGACCGAUGGCGAAGGCAUCUUACCAGAACGGCUCCGACAGUGAGGGACGAAAGCUGGGGGAGCAAACCGGAUCAGAUACCCGGGUAGUCCCAGCCGUAAACGAUGUGCGUUAGGUGUGUCAGUGACCACGAGUCACUGAGGUGCCGAAGGGAAACCGUGAAACGCACCGCCUGGGAAGUACGGUCGCAAGGCUGAAACUUAAAGGAAUUGGCGGGGGAGCAC
rnacentral:rRNA from 1 species